AUCUAUGAAGAAAAUCCACUGAUUCCCACUCUCUCUCUCUCUCUCUCUCAGACUCCCGUGCCAUUUCCGGGAAAAUGUUUUCUACCAUUCCAAACGGUGCUGAAGAAAUUGUCUGACUGAAAUGUCACCACCACCUAACAUCCUGACUCUCGCGGCCCUCUUUCUCUCCCUCCUCACGUUAAUCUCAGCCGCCAGGUCAGCACUGAACGGCAUCGUUCUCGUCAGAGGAAGCUCCACGAUUCUAAGCGAAAACGGAACGUUCCGCCUGGGCUUCUUCAGCACCAACAACGAGCCCAACUGGUACUUGGGCAUCUGGUUCACUGCGGUCCCAACCAAGACCUUCGUCUGGGUCGCCAAUCGCGAAAAUCCAACCAGAAAUCUCGGAACGUCGUCGUUCGAGCUCACCGGGUCGGGUCGGUUGGCGGUGAAGGAAUCCGAGAACCUAACGGUCUGGCAGAGCACGAACGGCGAGUUCUCGACGGACGCGAGGUUUCUGGACAAUGGGAAUCUGGUUCUGUUCACCCGAGAUGGCACGGUCGCCUGGCAAAGCUUCGAUCACCCAACGGACACGUGGCUGCCGGGCAUGAACCUCACGAGGGACCUGUUCCUGACCUCCUGGCGGAGCUUAUUCGACCCAUCACCGGGCUUGUAUUCUCUGCGGCUGAGACGACCAGGCUACGGUGAGUUCGAGCUCGUCUAUAACGCCACGAACACUUACUGGAGCUCCGGGAAGUGGACCGGCGAGGCAUUCUCUAACGUACCGGAGAUGACCUCACCCUACAUUUAUCACUUCCGGUUCGAGUACCCGUUCACCCCGACGGCUUCGUUUGGGUUCACCUUGAAGCCGUUGGACACCGAGUCGGCCCCGCCGCUGACCCGGUUCAAGAUGGACUACACGGGCCAAUUGCAGCAGUCCACCUGGUCGCCGCAGACCGAGAGCUGGAACAGGUUCUGGUCGCAGCCGGAGAACGUGUGCCGCGUGUACGGCCUGUGCGGGAGCUUCGGCGUCUGCGAUAGCACGGGACCGAGGCUCUGCGAGUGCCUCCCUCUCCCAGAGUUCCAGCCCGUGAACGACGUCGCAUGGGAGUCCGAGGACUACUCCGGCGGGUGUCGCCGCGUGAGUACGUGCGAUGGGAAUGGGAGGUUUGAGAAGGUCGGUGCGGUUUAUUUCGACGGGGCCGUGACGCGGCAGUUUUCGAUGGGUGAUCGGAAGGGCUGCGAGAGGGCGUGUUUGGACGACUGCGCUUGCUUUGGGUUGUACUACAACGAGAGGAGUAGGCUGUGCAGUAAUUUGAACGGAUCGCUUUUGAAUCUCCGGAAUUUGAGUGGUAGUGUAGGUGGUGGAGAAGAAGACAUGUUGUACCUGAGAGUGGCAAGAGGAGGAGGAGGAGGAGGGAGGAAAAGAUUGAGCCUUGUGGCUUUGGUUGUUGGCAGUGUUGGGUCGGUUUUGGUCUUGGGAAUUAUAGGCCCAAUGGUGUUGGUUUUCCUUGUGAGGAAAAGAAAGAAGAGGAAGAAUGGGGUAGAUGAAGAUGGUGGUUUUCCGGUCUUGAAUCUCAAGGUUUUUUCUUACAAAGAGCUCCAUUUAGCGACUCGGGGUUUCUCGGAGAAGAUUGGGCACGGGGGGUUUGGGACGGUGUUUCAGGGAGAGUUGCGGGGUUCCUCCACUCGCGUCGCCGUGAAACGCCUGGAGAGGCCAGGCGGUGGAGAGAAAGAGUUCCGGGCGGAGGUGUGCACCAUUGGGAACAUUCAGCAUCUCAAUCUCGUCAGACUGAGAGGCUUCUGCUCCGAAAACUCUCAUAGACUCCUGGUUUACGAUUACAUGCCUAAUGGUCCCUUGAGUGCGUAUCUCCGCCGAGACGGGCCUAAUUUGAACUGGGAUGUCAGGAUUCGGGUGGCAGUUGCCACCGCCAAAGGCAUUGCGUAUUUACACGAAGAAUGCAGAGAUUGUAUCAUACACUGCGAUAUUAAGCCCGAAAAUAUAUUGCUUGAUGGUGAUUUUACGGCCAAGGUGUCCGAUUUCGGACUGGCUAAGCUGAUUGGCAGAGACUUUAGCCGGGUAUUAGCCACGAUGAGGGGUACAUGGGGCUAUGUUGCUCCGGAGUGGAUCUCUGGGGUGGAAAUUACCACCAAAGCUGAUGUUUAUAGCUACGGAAUGACGUUGUUGGAAUUGAUUGGGGGCCGUAGGAACGUGGAGGCGCCUCCGUCGGGCAGAGAGGGUGGUGGAGCAGGGGGGGAGAAGUGGUUCUUUCCUCCAUGGGCGGCCCAGCGUAUUGUCGAGGGCAAUGUCGAGGCAGUAGUUGAUAGUAGGCUUGGCGGUGCUUACGAUAUUGAGGAGGCUAAGCGUGUCGGGUUGGUGGCAGUGUGGUGCAUACAGGAUGAUGAGGCAAUGAGGCCAAGGAUGGGGAUGGUGGUGAAAAUGUUGCAGGGUGUGGUGGAAGUGACCGUUCCUCCGGUGCCCAAAUUAUUACAAGCACUGGUUUCCGGGGAGUCUUUUUGCGGCAUUAGGGCCGAUUCCGGCAAUGGGGUGUCCACCGGCUUUUAUGGUGACAAUGUGGCAGUUGUGUCCAGUGGUGUUGGUUCAGAAUCAUCUCUUGGAGCUGUCUCUUCCCCAAUGAAUGAGAAUAUGAAGGCCUAGCUAACAACAAGAAAGUGUGGUGGUUCCUUUUGCUUGCUGCAUCCUCUCCUCUACUCAAAAGAGUGCAAUUUACAUAUCUCUUCAGCCAGAGAACACUCGAGAAUUCACAAGAUUUCCUAUAAGCAAUAAUCCUAGGGCUUACAAUUACUUUAAUUUAGAGAUUGAAACUUGAAACCAAUGCCAAGAUUCUUGUUAGAUGCACCGACUGACAAAAAUAGAUACUUGGAAGUGGACAGGGCUAGUUGCACACACAGACCUGACUGGGCAUGAUUGUGCUAUGAAUGGUUUUUGGUAUAUUUUUGUGUCCAUGAGCAUCUCUUUUCCUUUCAAUGGUUGGUGGGGUUAGGCGA